ACAUAGAGUGUGCGUGUGUAUAUACGAUCGAUCAGGGGCAGAGAGUGAGGUGAAACCCUAGUUUCACCAAAAUCCAUCAAAUUGAAGGGGGAUUGAAGGGCUAAACUAAUGCAUGAACCAAGAUUGUCGAUCACCUUAGUGUUUCUACCAUCAUGAUCAUGUUUAAAGGGGAAAGCAUGGAAGGCAAACGGAAAAGGGAUGAUGAAGCAUGUACGAAACGGACACUCGAGGUAAGUGAUUCCGUAAUCACUUCUUAGUUUGUUUAAGUAGUGUAGCGUUUUAGUUAAUUAAACAUGAUGUUUAAUGUCAAAUAUGGAUUUAGUUGAAUGAAAUUGGUGAAUUUUUCUAAGUAGACCAAACGGGUCAAAAUGAGGUCUUAUGAUUAUAUCGAAAAGUUGUAUAAGAAAUGGCUACGGUAGUAUAAACGGUUAAUGGGUAGAAUUGCACAUAAGUACGCAAUCCGGGAAUCGGAGAUGUGGUUUAAUAGUCAAAAGACUCAGAUGUGAGUUGGUUUAAUAGAUAUACAUUUGCGCAAGUGGAGGUUUUAGUAACAAGUUUGAUACGUAGAUUUAAAUGGAAUGAAUGAAAUUAAUGAAUACCGGGUAUCGGUUGCGUAAACCCCAAGUACGAAACUCUAAAUAAUAUAAGAGUAUUAUGGAUAUAAUGUUCAUGUAUGUUUUGGGUUAAAACAAAGGAGUGGUUUGAUGAAAACAUAAACGGGUCAAAUAAUUAGAAAAUGAUUAUUAAGCCGAUAGCGUGUAAGUUAAGAAUUUCCUUAAUCCGGAUAUGGGAUUUUAAGUUCAUAUGAUAGAAUGUGAAUUUACAAGCAUAUAGGAAGAAACGUGAGGUUAAACGGUCAACCGGGUUCAAAGUUAUGCGAGAUUUAGUGGGCGUUUUGUAUCUGCACCCGGAGUAUGGAACGCCGGGUUUGGGAGUAUGGAACGCUGGGCAGAAACCCAAACGCCCAUGCUUCACUGUCAAACGUUGGUUCCAUGUUAAAGUGAACGUCGGGGUGUUCCAAACAAGCCUAGAUCACUUUCCUUGAGUUCCUUUGAUGUAUGUAAAGCUCCAUGUGAUAGGUUUAUGAUCCGGAAUCAUCACGCAAUCUUCCACCACUACCCUACAUGUAAAAAUGCAUCAAAGUAACAUGUCUCGAUACAAAUUCGAUGCUAAAACAUGUAAAUAUUAACCACUUAGGCGUACCAAAAGCAUAUGCAUCAGAUAUGUACGUAUGUAUGUAUGUAUGUAUAAAUAUGAUUGUAUGUAGAUAUGUAGGUGCGUAUGAUCAGACGUAUGAAUAUAUGAAUGCACGAAGUAGGAUUUAUCGUCUAUGAAAAGAAUGGGACAGGUAUGCAUGUAUACAUGGUUUCAAUACGUUUGAGUAUGGACGUUACUAAUGAUGUGCUUGAGAUUGAAAUGUAAUGCAGGAAUGAGAACACCAGACUCUUGUAGAAUUGAAGCCAAACCUUGAAGCCGAACUCGGAACAAAGGAAUCCGAGAGGAUAGUCGAAUGAAUCAAAGUUUAUGUUGUCGAAUGUUAUAUGAUUUUUAAUUUGUAUCAGAUUAUUGUUAUAUGACGUUGUCAAUGACUAAUGGUUAAGUUGUAUGUGGUG